UUAUAAGGUUUUUAACCCCUAGCUGAUGACGGGCUCUGCUCACGAGGGUGGGAGUGAUAAAAGUACUGAAGGUGAACGCUAGGUACCUAGAAAGCGGUGAAUUUCUUUUGGAGAGGGAUUCUAUUGCUCCUCUUAACUUGGUAAGGAAGGUGGAUGGGAGGGUUGGUGUUUCCCUCGACUAGCCCCAAGGACUUAAGAGUGAAUGUGUAUGAUCCCUUGAGAGGGGUGCCCGUGGCGGAAUUAAAAGUAAGGAAAAGAUACGCCACGGGUAAACAC
rnacentral:sRNA from 1 species